rnacentral:rRNA from 1 species
AGGAAAGCAGGGGAUCGCAAGACCUUGCGCUUUUGGAGCGGCCGAUGUCUGAUUAGCUAGUUGGUGAGGUAAAGGCUUACCAAGGCUUCGAUCAGUAGCUGGUCUGAGAGAACGACCAGCCACACUGGGACUGAGACACGGCCCAGACUCCUACGGGAGGCAGCAGUGGGGAAUUUUGGACAAUGGGGGCAACCCCGAUCCAGCCAUGCCGCGUGAGUGAAGAAGGCCUUCGGGUUGUAAAGCUCUUUCAGCCGGAACGAAACGGUCACGGUUAAUAACUGUGAUCACUGACGGUACCGGAAGAAGAAGCACCGGCUAACUACGUGCCAGCAGCCGCGGUAAUACGUAGGGUGCGAGCGUUAAUCGGAAUUACUGGGCGUAAAGCGUGCGCAGGCGGUUUUGUAAGUCAGAUGUGAAAUCCCCGGGCUUAACCUGGGAACUGCGUUUGAAACUACAAGGCU